rnacentral:rRNA from 1 species
GGAUCAUUAAAGAGUUUAAUAAAACUCCUAAACCCCUGUGAACUCACUAUGUUGGAUUCUCGCCAGAGAUAGUCUGGUUUCUGCUUCGCGGAUCGCCUGCCCGUGACACCUGUCACAGGUAGGUAUGCUUCUGCCGCGGGUCCGCAGGUAAAUCGUCUGUUUCACAAGGGACGGCGAUUUUACCUGUGGAAGAGGUCCGCUAACUAUAUUCUUAGUAUAGUUUGUUCACUAGAUCAAACAUUCUGAAUAAAAACUUAAACUAGUUAAAACUUUCAACAACGGAUCUCUUGGUUCUGGCAUCGAUGAAGAACGCAGCGAAAUGCGAUAAGUAAUGUGAAUUGCAGAAUUCAGUGAAUCAUCGAAUCUUUGAACGCACAUUGCGCCCAUUAGUAUUCUAGUGGGCAUGCCUGUUCGAGCGUCAUUUCAACCCUUAAGCCUCUGUUGCUUAGCGUUGGGAGCCUACAGCCUGCUGUAGCUCCUUAAAGGUAGUGGCGGAGUCGGUUCACACUCUAGACGUAGUAAAAUCUUUAUCUCGCCUAUAGAUGAGCCGGCGCCUUGCCGUAAAACCCCUAAUCUUUCACAAGGUUGACCUCGGAUCAGGUAGGAAUACCCGCUGAACUUAAGCAUAUCAAUAAGCGGAGGAAAAGAAACCAACAGGGAUUGCCCUAGUAACGGCGAGUGAAGCGGCAACAGCUCAAAUUUGAAAUCUGGCCUUCGGGUCCGAGUUGUAAUUUGCAGAGGAUGCUUUGGGCGCGGUGCCUUCCGAGUUCCCUGGAACGGGACGCCUUAGAGGGUGAGAGCCCCGUACGGUUGGACACCAAGCCUCUGUAAAGCUCCUUCGACGAGUCGAGUAGUUUGGGAAUGCUGCUCUAAAUGGGAGGUAAAUUUCUUCUAAAGCUAAAUAUUGGCCAGAGACCGAUAGCGCACAAGUAGAGUGAUCGAAAGAUGAAAAGCACUUUGAAAAGAGGGUUAAAUAGCACGUGAAAUUGUUGAAAGGGAAGCGUUUGCGACCAGACCUUUUCCCAGCGGAUCAUCCGGUGUUCUCACCGGUGCACUUCGCUGGGUUGAGGCCAGCAUCGGUUUCCGCAGGGGGAUAAAAGCCUGGGGAACGUAGCUCCCUCGGGAGUGUUAUAGCCCCUCGCAUAAUACCCUUGCGGGGACCGAGGACCGCGCU